rnacentral:rRNA from 1 species
AAUCAACGCUGGCGGCGUGCCUAACACAUGCAAGUCGAACGCGAAAGUCCCGCAAGGGAUAAGUAGAGUGGCAAACGGGUGAGUAACGCGUGGGCGGCCUACCUUCGAGUGGGGGAGUAACCUUCCGAAGGAGGGCGUAAUACCGCCAUGACAUCCCGUCGUUUGGUAGUACACGGACAUCAAAGACCGGGGAGUCGUAAGACCUGGCGCUUGAAGAGGGGCCCGGCGUCCGAUUAGCUAGUUGGUGGGGUAACGG